UACGGAGGGUGCAAGCGUUGUCCGGAAUCACUGGGCGUAAAGGGCGCGUAGGCGGCUCAUGAAGGCUGUGGUGAAAGUCCGGGGCUCAACCUCGGAUCGGCCGUGGCGACUCGUGGGCUGGAGCACUGUAGAGGCGGGUGGAAUUUCGGGUGUAGCGGUGGAAUGCGUAGAGAUCCGGAAGAACACCAGUGGCGAAGGCGGGUCUCUGGGCCGAUACUGACGCUGAGGAGCGAAAGCGUGGGGAGCAAACAGG
rnacentral:rRNA from 1 species